GUAAAAUCUGUGCCUACGUUCUGUAACUCUCGCAUCGAGAAAUUUCUCGCAUGAAACAGGCAAAUCGAAACAAAAAUAAUGUGAAUCGGCACAAAAACUGUUUUCUCACAUUCGCUUGUGUCUGUAUCUUGAAUUUUCUCGACUUGAAACGUUUCGGAAUAAAAUUGACUGGAAGCCUGGAAAAAUGUGAAUAAAACUGUUUCUGUAAAAAAAUUAUCGAGAUAAUUCCUCGAUUUUUCUGUCAAAAUUACUCACAAGCAAAAAUAAUGUGAGAAAGGAAUCAAUGAAAGAUGUCUGAAAAAAAAGAGCCGAAAAACCAAAGAAUUUCCAAAAAUCAAAAAGAAAAGCUGGUGGAAUAUAUGUCCACGCAUUUAGAAUUUGCAAGGGGGCAAUUCGGAACAACCAACGCUAAUGUUAAGAGCCAGGGAGAUUGGCUGGCUUUAACUACAAAAUUAAACUCCUUGGGCGGUAGUAACAAAACUACCGAUCAGUGGAAAAAGUCAUUAGUUGUGUUUUUUGGCAAAGAUAUACGCAGUAGGAUUCCCCAAAUAUCAAUAUUAAAAAAAGUUAUAUGCAUGUACCAAGAUAAAGGAACAAAUAAACAAAAAUACUUCGUAAAAAUUCAAUUCGCAGCUAUACUUAGCUUCUAUUCUUAUCGGUAGUUGGGUCUUGUUAUUGUAAUACAUGUAAACUUAAACUGUGGAUACGGAUAGCAAUGCCAAAAAACACAGGUAUUGAUGAAAUGCCUUUAUCUUAAGACUUUAAAUAUUAUAUAGCUUU